CCUACGGGGGGCUGCAGUCGAGAAUUUUUCACAAUGGGCGCAAGCCUGAUGGAGCGACGCCGCGUGGGGGAUGAAUGGCUUCGGCCCGUAAACCCCUGUCAUUUGCGAUCAAACCUUGCUAUUUAAAAGAUGGCGAGCUGAUAGUAGCGAAAGAGGAAGGGACGGCUAACUCUGUGCCAGCAGCCGCGGUAAUACAGAGGUGCCAAGCGUUGUUCGGAUGGGCUGGGAGUAGGGGGUGCGUGUCGGAUGUGAAAUCUCGGGGCUCAACUCCGAAAUGGCAUUGGAAACUACCCGGCUAGAGGGUCGGAGGGGGGACUGGAAUUCUCGGUGUAGCAGUGAAAUGCGUAGAUAUCGAGAGGAACACCAGUGGCGAAGGCGAGUCCCUGGACGACUCCUGACACUGAGGCACGAAAGCUAGGGGAGCAAACAGGAUUAGAUACCCCUGUAGUC
rnacentral:rRNA from 1 species